rnacentral:tRNA from 1 species
ACCCUUUUAGUAUAUCCAUUACUGUACAAUUGACUUCCAAUCAAUUAGAUUCGAUAUUUAUUCGAGAAAGGGUA